rnacentral:lncRNA from 10 species
UUUUAUUUUCCCAGGUAUAAAUGCUUACCUAUGCAAUUGUGUACUUGGACCUGUAGAUAAAUACCCCACAACUCUGAAGGUCUGAAAGUGGAAACAUAAGAGAGAGCUCUUGAACAUCUCUUUCUGGGGCCAAAGCUGUGUUGCCAAAGAGAAAAAAAAAAACUUACAGGAAAAUUAUAGCGUUUGCAUUUGAUAGAAUAGGAAAGAAGACAAAAAAAAAAGUAAGUGCCAUAUUACAUCCAUAUUGCAUGUGAAAUAUUUUAAAAUACAUAAUUCUUUUCAACAUGCUAAAAGGGAUAUUAUCUAAAAGAAUUUAAUACACAUAUAUUGUAUUUUAUGUAUAUGAACUGCCUAUGAAAAUAGUAUAUCUUCUUAGCAGCAGUUUCAGAAACUAAACUUAAAUUAUAUAUUGAAAAGCUGCAAAUAAAAUUAAAACAUUUCAGAACUUUUAGUAGUUGCAGGAAUUACUACCAGAUCUAAUUCCUAAAUUUAUCAAUGUAUUUUUUAUAAUAAAUAGAUUUUCAUACAUUUAGCAGUAUUUUAUUGUGUAAAAGACAGAUUUGAGUUCAAACCUUGACUUUUUCUCAUAAAAAAUGGAGGUGCUAGUAAAAAAUGAAGACAUUUUACUGUUAAAGUAAAAUUCUAUAAAUACUAUAGGUAGAUAGGUAGCUAAGUUCCUGGCAGAAACUUGGUAUGCAAUACAAGGAACUUAUUGCUAGUACUAAACUUAGCAUAUAGUAUGAAGGAUUAGGGCAUUGAGAAAUGAAUACAAUUUCAUUACUAUCAUCAGCAUAAAAUAUAGGGUAACAGGCUUAAAAUCUUGUCUUCUUGAUGGGAAAAGGAUAAUAUCAUUUAACAUAUUAACAGCAAUAUUUAUUAUUAUUAUCAUAUCUUUUAUAUCUGUUUUGGUUAUAAAAUUAUUUCUCAUAUUGUCUCUUAAGAUCAAACUAUUUUUCAUAUUGUCUCUUAAGAUCAUUUGCCUCUUGAGCCAAACUCUCAGUUCCAGACACAAUGCAGUAGCUUGCAGCAGAUGAUGUAUCUAUCUCCUGAGAAUAACCAGGAAGAAACAGUUUUUAAAAAUUUCUUUUUUAUUUUUUUUAGUUCUGAGGAAAUUGGAGAGCUGUCAAGGCAGCCAGGACUUGUGGAACCAGAUCCUGGAGAAAAGAGGAGACUGAAUUGAGCUGCAAUUGAGUUCAGCCCAACUUUCUAUGCACCACUUCUCCCCUUGGGACAUCUGCUGACUCUCAGCACAGGACAAGGAUCUGGAAAGCCUGGCAGGAAACAGUUCUUAAUCCACAAACCAAAGUUGCCAGAAAGAGAUUUUAAAACCACGGUGACUAAGAUGUACCUUAAAAUAGAUGAAAAGAUAAAGAAUUUUAAUAUAAAAUUGCAACCUAUAAAAGAAAAGCAAAUAAAAAUUUUAGAAUUAAAAAAGCAUACUAAGUUUGAAAACUCAAUAAAUGAGUUUAGUAACAGACUGGAUAUAGCUAAACAGAGAAUUAAUAGGGUGGAAGAAAAGUUAGAAGAAAAUAUCCAAACUAAAGUAAAGGGAAAAAAUGAUGGAAGAUAUACAUAAGCAGAGAGUCAAUACAUAUGACAUAGUGAAAUGGUCUAACAUAUACGAAACUGAAGCAUCAAAAGUGGAAGACAGAAAAUGAGAAGAGAGAGAAUAUUCAAAGACAAAGAACUUUCCAAAGCUGAUGAAAGAAACCAAAGAUUUGAGGAGCACUACAAUCCCAAACAAGAUAAAUAGCACAAAUUAAUAAAUAAAAAAUAAAUCACAGUAAAACUGCUUAAAAUGAAAAAUUAAGAAUACUGAAAGAAAGGAUACUAAAUUUAUCAUCAGAUGACCUGCACCCAUAGAAAUAUCAAAGAAAUUUCUUUAGGCAACAGGAAAAUGAUUUCAUGCAAUAACAUAAAACUGAAAAAAGAACAAUACAAAUUAUAAAUAUGUGCCUACACUAAAUGGAUAUACACUGUUUAAAAAAUAGUAAAUUCCUAUGAGGUUUAAAUGUAUGAAAAACUAAAAUUAAAAUCCAUCACAACAGUAGGACAAAAAACUUAGAAAAAGAUAAGUAAUUCUUACAUUUUUGGGAAAAGGAUAAAAGUACUUAUUUAUAUUAAACUUUAAUAAAUGUUGGCUGUAGACUAAUCACUAUUUAAGUGGUAAAAGAAUGUGUAAAGGAGAAAAUGGAAUAAUAAAAAUGCUUGAGCCAGGCACAGUGGCUCAUACCUAUAAUUCCAGCAAUUUGGGAGGCCAAGGUGGGAGGAUCACUGGAGCCCAGGAGUUCAAGAUCUGCCUGGACAACAUGACAAAACCCCAUCUCCACAAAAAAUACAAAAAUUAGUUGGACAUAGUGGUGCACGCCUGUAGUUCCAGUUACUCAGGAGGCUGAAGUGGGAGGAUCAUUUGAGCCCCAGCGGCAGAGGCUGCAGUGAGUUGAGAUUGCAACACUGCACUCUAGGCUGGAUGACAGAAAACAUUUUUGUAAUGUUUUAUUUUUUUUUCCUGCCUCGGAAAAAAAAAAAAAAAAGCAAAACAACAAACACAAAAAAACAAAGGAAACAAAAUAUAUCCUCCAUCCAGUCUAAUUAAAAUCCUAGCAUAUAUUUUACCUUUUUCAGGAAAACAUCCACAACAUACUCUGUUGUCAAGUUUGUGAUGAAACAAAUACCCUCAAACAUGGUUGCUGGUGGUCAUACGAAAGCACAGAACCUCGUAAAUAAGGAAUUAGUAAAUUCCAACAAAAUUGAGUAUGCAUAUACUCUUUAGCCUAUCGUAUCUCAUUCUUUCAAAAGUGGCGAAGAAAGGGAAAAAUAAGAUUUAUUCUCUUUCCCCUAUGAAUUAUUAACUCAGAAUAAACAAAAAAUGAACAAAGUUUCUCAAUUUGCUAUUAAAUGUACAAGGAAUAAUAAGAUUUGGUUAUCAUUAAUUUUCAGCUUCAGAUAAAAUUAUAGAUGUGUUAUGAUUAUGAAUACCUAACAUCAUAAAAAGAAAAUCAACCCAAACUUGUACUAACACUACAUACACAAUCUAGGAAUAAAGUGUGAAGGUAACCAAACAUCUAGAUUUAAGUACCAGAGGAACAUAUUAAAUAACACAUUGGGAAAGCAAUCAGCAAAAUUGAGACCACGGAAAACUCUACAGAGUAAAGGCUAUGGCUUCAUCAACAAAUAAAUUACAGCAGGAGAGAAAGAGAGAGAGAAAGGGAGG